rnacentral:lncRNA from 1 species
UGUUCUAUUUUUAGCCAUGGCGGCCAUCUUGGUUGGUUGGGCGGGUCACCGGACACAAUUUUUAAACUAGAUACCCCAAUGAUGAUUGUGGCCAAGUUUGGUUUAAUUUGGUCCAGUAGUUUCAGAGGAGAAGAUUUUUGUAAAAGAUAACUAAGAUUUACGAAAAAUGUGGUUAAAAAUUGACUAUAAAGGGCAAUAACUCCUAAAGGGGUCAACAGACCAUUUUGGUCAUGUUGACUUAUUUGUAGAUCUUACUUAGCUGAACAUUUUUGCUGUUUAC